rnacentral:tRNA from 2 species
UCCUGGUUGGUGUAGUUGGUAACAUUUCCGCCUGUCACGCGGACGCCCGGGGUUCGAUUCCCCGACUAGGAG